UACAGAGGGGGCCAGCGUUAUUCGGAAUUAUUGGGCGUAAAGGGCGCGUAGGCGGCUUUGCAAGUGACGGGUGAAAUCCCUCGGCUUAACCGAGGAACUGCCUGUCAAACUGCAUGGCUUGAGACCGGGAGAGGUGAGUGGAAUUCCCAGUGUAGCGGUGAAAUGCGUAGAUAUCGGGAGGAACACCAGUGGCGAAGGCGACUUCCUGGCCUGUUCUUGACGCUGAGGCGCGAAAGCUAGGGGAGCAAACGGG
rnacentral:rRNA from 1 species